UUACGGCCAUAUCACUUUAAAGCACUAGUUCUCGUACGAUCACCGAAGUUAAGCAGCAACGAGUAUGGUCAGUAUCUAGAUGGGUAACCGUUUAGAAAUCCCAGGUGUU